rnacentral:rRNA from 1 species
GACAGAGGGUGCAAACGUUGUUCGGAAUUACUGGGCGUAAAGCGCGUGUAGGCGGCCAUGCAAGUCGGAUGUGAAAGCCCCCGGCUCAACCGGGGAACGGCGCGGGAAACUAGCAGGCUUGAGUUCGGGAGAGGGAAGCGGAAUUCCGGGUGUAGCGGUGAAAUGCGCAGAUAUCCGGAGGAACACCGGUGGCGAAGGCGGCUUCCUGGACCGACACUGACGCUGAGGCGCGAAAGCUAGGGGAGCAAACGGG